GGGGGUAUAGCUCAGGGGUAGAGCGCUCGCUUAGCAUCGAGAGGGCUGGGGUUCGAUUCCCCAUACCUCCA
rfam:Steinernema glaseri strain NC unplaced genomic scaffold GLAS_2294, whole genome shotgun sequence.